rnacentral:rRNA from 1 species
GGACCCGCACAAGUAGUGGAGCAUGUGGUUUAAUUCGAAGAUACGCGCAGAACCUUACCAACACUUGACAUGUUCGUCGCGACUCUAAGAGAUUAGAGUUUUCGGUUCGGCCGGACGAAACACAGGUGCUGCAUGGCUGUCGUCAGCUCGUGUCGUGAGAUGUUGGGUUAAGUCCCGCAACGAGCGCAACCCUCACUUUUAGUUGCCAUCAUUAAGUUGGGCACUCUGAAAGAACUGCCAGUGAUAAGCUGGAGGAAGGUGGGGAUGACGUCAAGUCCUCAUGGCCCCUUACGUGUUGGGCUACACACGUGCUACAAUGGUAGGUACAGAGAGCAGCCAAUGCGCGAGCAUGAG